rnacentral:rRNA from 1 species
GACGAACGCUGGCGGCGUGCUUAACACAUGCAAGUCGAACGAUGAAGUUCCUUCGGGAAUGGAUUAGUGGCGAACGGGUGAGGAACACGUGAGAAACCUGCCUUUCAUUUUGGGAUAACUCCGGGAAACCGGGGCUAAAACCGAAUACUCCGUCUCGGCGGCAUCGCUGAGCCGGGAAAAAAGUUUGAUGAAAGAUGGUCUCGCGGCCUAUCAGCCAGUUGGUGAGGUAAUGGCUCACCAAGGCAACGACGGGUAGCCGGCCUGUGAGGGCGAUCGGCCACACUGGGACUGAGACACGGCCCAGACUCCAACGGGAGGCAGCAGUGGGGAAUAUUGGGCAAUGGGCGCAAGCCUGACCCAGCGACGCCGCGUGAGGGAUGAAGGCCUUCGGGUUGUAAACCUCAUUCAGUAGGGAAGAAGCGAAAGUGACGGUACCUAAAGAAGAAGCACCGGCUAACUAUGUGCCAGCCGCCGCCGUAA